rnacentral:pre_miRNA from 1 species
UACCGAGGUUUUCCUCGGCAGUUAACUGCAGCCGGUUUUGAAUUCCUCGACAGUUAAUUGCCGAGGGGACA